rnacentral:rRNA from 1 species
CGUAGGGGCAAGCGUUAUCCGGAUUUACUGGGGUGUAAAGGGAGCGCAGGCGGUGCGGCAAGUCUGAUGUGAAAGCCCGGGGCUCAACCCCGGGACUGCAUUGGAAACUGUCGUACUUGAGUAUCGGAGAGGUAAGUGGAAUUCCUAGUGUAGCGGUGAAAUGCGUAGAUAUUAGGAGGAACACCAGUGGCGAAGGCGGCUUACUGGACGAUAACUGACGCUGAGGCUCGAAAGCGUGGGGAGCAAACAGGAUU